rnacentral:rRNA from 1 species
AUGCUUUCACAACUUGACUUCAAAAUAUUUGGUUUGGAGACCAUCAAAGAUCAAUAUGUGCAUGAUGCUGAUUUUAAAGAUGUAAUGCAUAAUUGUAAAGAAGGAAGAAUGUGGAACAAGUUUGUUGUUAACGAUGGAUUUGUGUUUCGUGCUAACAAGCUAUGCAUUCCAGCUAGCUCCGUUCGUCUUUUGUUGUUGCAGGAGGCGCAUGGAGGAGGAUUAAUGGGACACUUUGGCGUGAAGAAGACGGAGGACAUACUUGCUACACAUUUCUUUUGGCCAAAGAUGAGACGGGAUGUUGAGCGGGCUGUUUUGAAGAAUAAUAAGAAAAUGUGGGAGGAAUGCUUGCCUCAUAUUGAAUUUGCUUAUAAUCGUUCAUUGCAUUCUACUACUAAGAUGUGCCCUUUUGAAGUUGUGUAUGGUUUUCUACCUCGUGCACCUAUUGAUUUGUUGCCUCUUCCAUCUUCGGAGAAGGUUAAUUUUGAUGCUAAACAACGUGCUGAAUUGAUUUUAAAAAUGCAUGAGUUAUCUAAGGAAAACAUUGAGCGUAUGAAUGCUAAAUAUAAACUUGCUGGAGAUAAGGGUAGAAAACAUGUUGUGUUUGCACCUGGAGAUCUUGUUUGGUUACAUUUGCGUAAGGAUAGAUUUCCUGAUUUGCGCAAAUCAAAGUUAAUGCCACGUGCUGAUGGUCCCUUUAAGGUGUUAGAGAAAAUAAAUGAUAAUGCAUAUAAACUUGAGCUGCCUGCAGAUUUUGGGGUUAGUCCCACUUUUAACAUUGCAGAUUUGAAGCCUUAUUUGGGUGAGGAAGAUGAACUUCCGUCGAGGACGACUUCAUUUCAAGAAGGGGAGGAUGAUGAGGACAUCAAUACAAUUGUUACACCCACAGCCCCUGCUGCUAUACAUACUGGACCAAUUACUAGAGCUCGUGCACGCCAACUAAAUUACCAGGAAACAGACCCUCGUGGUCAGGUUGAUCGUGCUCCGGCGUGGUCAAUAACAUCUCGGAGUUGGUUUAGCGAUUGCUAA